AUUGAACGCUGGCGGCAGGCCUAACACAUGCAAGUCGAGCGGAGAGGCGGACGGGUGAGUAAUGCCUAGGAAUCUGCAUGGUAGUGGGGGACAACGUCGGGAAAAGGGCGCUAAUACCGCAUACUAUAAAGUGAGCCUAGGUCGGAUUAGGUAGUUGGUGGGGUAAAGGCAUACCAAGGCGACGAUCCGUAGCUGGGCUGAGAGGAUGAUCAGUCACACUGGAACUGAGACACGGUCCAUACUCCUACGGGAGGCAGCAGUGGGGAAUAUUGGACAAUGGUCGAAAGCCUGAUCCAGCCAUGCCGCGUGUGUGAAGAAGGUCUUCGGAUUGUAAAGCACUGUAAGUUGGGAUGCGGUACCAACAGAAUAAGCACCGGCUAACUUCGUGCCAGCAGCCGCGGUAAUAC
rnacentral:rRNA from 1 species